rnacentral:rRNA from 1 species
UUGGGCGUAAGCGCGCGCAGGCGGCUUCUUAAGUCUGAUGUGAAAGCCCGUGGCUCAACCACGGAGGGUCAUUGGAAACUGGGGAGCUUGAGUGCAGAAGAGGAGAGUGGAAUUCCACGUGUAGCGGUGAAAUGCGUAGAGAUGUGGAGGAACACCAGUGGCGAAAGCGGCUCUCUGGUCUGUAACUGACGCUGAGGCGCGAAAGCGUGGGGAGCAAACAGGAUUAGAUACCCUGGUAGUCCACGCCGUAAACGAUGAGUGCUAGGUGUUGGGAGGGUCCAACCCCUCAGUGCUGAAGUUAACACAUUAAGCACUCCGCCUGGGGAGUACGACCGCAAGGUUGAAACUCAAAGGAAUUGACGGGGGCCCGCACAAGCAGUGGAGCAUGUGGUUUAAUUCGAAGCAACGCGAAGAACCUUACCAGGUCUUGACAUCCUCUGACAACCCUAGAGAUAGGGCGUUCCCCUUCGGGGGACAGAGUGACAGGUGGUGCAUGGUUGUCGUCAGCUCGUGUCGUGAGAUGUUGGGUUAAGUCCCGCAACGAGCGCAACCCUUGAUGUUAGUUGCCAGCAUUCAGUUGGGCACUCUAACGUGACUGCCGGUGACAAACCGGAGGAAGGUGGGGAUGA